rfam:Erinaceus europaeus unplaced genomic scaffold scaffold01104, whole genome shotgun sequence
AAAAAAGGUUAAAAAAUAUAUUUUUUUGCAUGCAAGAAUAACCUGGAGAGACUUUCACAGAACAGGUCAGCAUAAUAUCUGUAGCUGCCACUCAACUUCCCUAUAUUU